CCGAGUUAUUCUACUCCCAAACCCCUGUGAACUUAUACCUUUACUGUUGCUUCGGCGGGUUAACGCCCCGGAAGGCCCGCGAGGGCCGCCGGAACCAGGCGCCCGCCGGGGGACCCAAACUCUUUCUGUAGUCCCCUCGCGGACGUUAUUUCUUACAGCUCUGAGCAAAAAUUCAAAAUGAAUCA
rnacentral:misc_RNA from 1 species